GUGCGAGCGGAUGCUAGGUGAUUUGGUCUUUCUUGCGCUCGUGGUUAGGUGAUGAACCGCUAUGGCCUCGCAUGUGACAGGAAUGGCGUCUGAGAAAAAGAAAUCUGUUAUAUUCCUUAGGCAAAGGAAAGGUUAAAGGCGGAAGAAUAGUGACGGGAGAAGAGGUGUCAGAGGUGUAGAAAAAAGUUGGCGAAACAACGAGUCGAAAGGAAAAUAUAAAAGAGGCCGAAAGAAGCCACUCGUCGAGCCCCUAAGAAAGUGGCGGAAUUCCCAGUUACGCCCCUAAGGCUAGCUGAAACGCGUCGCUUUUUGUUCUAUGACAGACCCAUGGAACUUUACAUCAAACAUAUCUCUUUCACUGGCAAACACGUACUACAAAGGGUUAAUGUUGUUUGUCUCACAACUGCUAAAAGGAUCGCAGGAAGGAUCCAUUAGAACAAUGAUUCUCGAUUUUUUAUGCUCCGCCUAUCCCUGGAAAUGCUCAUGAACACAAAGUACCUGUUGUCUUUAUAAAAAUGCAAAUUUCCCAGUAUUCGCCAAUUGAAACGUUAUUUGCUUCGAAAACUCUUUUUCCCGAAACUUCAUCGUUUUACGAUAAUUUAUUUAUGAUGGGAGAUCGAUGUCAGCUUCUGUCAUACAAUUAAUCUAAGAUUAAUCUCAAUUUCAUUAGAAAAAGUGUCAUUAAAUGGUGACCACAAUUGUUCGAAUUGUAAUAUUUCGUAUUCUAGAUUAUAUAUACAAAUUAUUUAUGGUACGUAUAAAAACGAGAGAAAAUUAAAUAUUCUAAAAUUGAAUAUCG